GGAUGUGAGGGUGAUCUGGCUGUAAUAUCUACACCAUUGAUUGCUAGGACUGAUUCAGCUGACAGUUGGCUAGGGGGAUGUCCCCUUCCUACCUCACCAUUCCAUGUGUGUCCCUACUGAAGUUGUGUCAGUCAACUAGGACAACCAUCCCUGCUAGAGGAGGACUGUUCUCCAGACAAGGGUAUACAAUUAGUUGUGCUCCCCUGCUAGAACCUGCAGACAAUCGCUCAAGAAAUCUCAAAACAAACUGAAAAUGUGGGUAGUCUCU
rnacentral:snRNA from 1 species